rnacentral:rRNA from 1 species
CCCGCAUGGGCACGAGUUGUAAAUUGCAGGUUGGAGUCUUUGUGGAGGCCGGUGUCGAAGUCCCUUGGAACAGGGUGCCAUUGAGGGUGAGAGCCCCGUGCGAUGCCGGCCAAAGCUUUAAGGCCCUUCUGACGAGUCGAGUUGUUUGGGAAUGCAGCUCUAAGUGGGUGGUAAAUUCCAUCUAAGGCUAAAUAUUGGCGAGAGACCGAUAGCGAACAAGUACUGUGAAGGAAAGAUGAAAAGCACUUUGAAAAGAGAGUGAAACAGCACGUGAAAUUGUUGAAAGGGAAGGGUAUUGGGCUCGACAUGGGAUUUGCGCACCGCUGCUCCUUGUGGGCGGCGCUCUGGGCUUUUCCUGGGCCAGCAUCGGUUUCCGCUGCAGGAGAAGGGGUUCUGGAAUGUGGCUCCUCGGAG